AAACACUCAUCAAAGGAAUUAAAAAAACCAACAAAAAACGACAAAUAGCACAACCAUACAUUGAUAUGAUAUUAUUUUUUGUGUGUACGCCAUAUGCACAUUUAAGCACAUUGAAAAUCAUGUGGGACUUUCCUUGAGCAAACAUUGAGAAGCAAGCUUAGUGAAAUUGGAAGGUUGAGAUUAAUGCCCAAAAUGUUAGCUUUAAGGGCAGUGCAAAGGCAUGCUGCAGCCUCGAGAUCAACAAGGCCAUUUAGGAGUGAGCAACAAGGGGUUACUGGUGGUUUACCCAAAGUUAAAUUCAACAACCCACUUAGGACAUUGGCACAUACACCAAGUUUGAGAGCAUCACGUGGGCAUGUGCCACUUGAAGGGGUUGGGUUAGGGUUAGGGUUUGGGUUUGGCCUUGGCUUUGGUUUUGGGGUUGGGUUUGGAGUAGGGUUGCAUGAAUAGGAACCACAAGCUGAAACAAGUGAAAAAAAGAGGAGGUUGAUUGUGAGGAAAAUAGCAAGGGAGGAACAAGUUUUGGAAGCCAUCUUAAUUAAAUUAUUCUUGUACUAGCUAAGUUGCUAUUAGAGCUUAAUUAAGAGAAGAAGAGUGGUUGUGAAUAUGAUUUAGAGGUAAUGGGGGUUUAUAUAGUGUUUUGGAACGCCAAGUGGGGUGAGUUGAGUAGGAACUAACCCUAAGCAAUAAUAGCCGUAUUAAAAAAAUUAAAUGUGGUUGAGAUAAGUUAAGCUUAUGAUGUAGUCAUGUUAGAAGGAAAAAAACAAUGAGCUUUAGCUGGCAGUGUAUAUAGUAUAGUAUAUACCCUUAGAAUAGGUUUUGGAUACUUGUGUGUUGAUGUGCAACUUACAUUAAAGUGUCUAUUAUAAAUGUUUUGAACUAUAUUCACUUUUCAUACACACAUACAAUCUAAAUUAAGGAUUAACAGAUUAUUUUAUUGAGAGAGAUAAAUACAGAUUAUGGUUUCCCACAGAAAGGAUACAUAUUGAAUGUAGAGGGUAAAUCUUUAAAUUACGAUUGUGAGAAAUAUCCACAUUUAUAAUUCAGAUAUGUAUAUGUAUCACAUGACAUGAGUUGAUAGUUUUGAAUUUUAAUAUGUAUCAUUUGGAAGGCACCAAGUGCAGUGAAAAUGGAAAAUUGAGGAUGAAAACUCGUUUUCUAAAAGAUCUUUCUCAGUUUGAUGAAUGUGAAAACUGAAAACACGGAAAGAAAAAUAGAUAUUGGAGGCUUGGAGCCCACAUAAAAUGAACAUUUUAGUAUGUAAAAAUAUACCUUUAAUAAAUAAAUACUUAUUUCUGUACCAAUAAGAAAUUUAAAUACUUCUUUAUAAUAACAUGAAAACACGACCAUUUCACAAAAUCCUCAGUUAGUCUAUGUUUAUGACUAUGCAUAUUGGUGAUAUUAUUAUAGUUUUAGUACUAUCUAGUUGGUUCUCGUUGUCGUUGCUAUAUAACCUUUGUUGUUUGUUUGUUCUCGCCAAUUCGUUGUCGUUUGCGUCACAAAAUCUUAAGGGUUGAAAAAAAAUUAAAAACCAGAUAAGCCUACUUAACUAGAGUCUAUCAAAUUUUGAUUGUAAAUUUCUAAUGAUAUUUUGACAAGGUUUACACUUUUACUUACCUUAUGGUCUAGCUCCGAAUUACUGUAGCACCAUUUUAUUUUAAAAAUUGUAAGAUUAAGAAGAAGAAGAAGAAAAACUAAUAUUUAAAUGUGUAUAGUGUGUAUGUUCUACUUUUUUGAGCUAAUCGUAUUUUUAGUCCCAUGAAAUGUUCCUAUUGUGCGCACCCGUUUUUAUUUUUCAAUUGUGGCCCCAUCUUUUAUCCUUAUGCGAUAAAAUAGGUCUCAUUAAUAGUUUCUAUAUUCUCUUCUGUUUUUUUUUUAAACAAAGUUAACUAUUAUCAUUAAUCAACCAAUGUCAAUACAAGAAAGAUAAGAAUAAAAAAUAUAGUGACUAGCCCAAGAACAGGCCGCCCUAUCUAAACUAUGAGGAACCAUGUUCGCUUGUCUCCUAACAAACUUCAUCUCGAAAUUGGAAUGUAAAGAUAACUGAUAAAUAAUACUAGAAACAAUAGCAUAGGAUUCCGAAUCACCAUGGCCCGGAGACGAUAGCGUUUGCACUAGAGUAGAUGAAUCGAACUCGAAGACAACCCGGUCCCAUCUGUUUGCAUCCGCAAAAUGAAGGGUCUCGAGUAAGGCUACUGCAUCCCCCUCCAAAACUGUCAUAUUUGCCAGCUGUCAUUUUGUUUGAGCCCGAAUAAAUUGUCUGCGAGAGUCUCUAACACAACACGCAAAAGUUGUAAUAUGGUUACGUUCAAGGAACGUGGCAUCCACAUUGCACUUCAACCACGUCUCGCUCGAUUUCUCCCAAAUAUUGUGUUUAUUCGGUUUUAGAUUAGUUUCUCACUUUUGUCCCCGAAUCUUGUGAUUUUACAUAAUUUAAAAGCAGCUAAAAAAACAAAAUUGCUAAAUCACAAUAUUUUGAAGACUAAAAUGAAGUGUGCAAAAAUGGAAGUAAAAUUAAGGGGAGAACAUUAGAGACUAAUAUGUUUAAAAAUAUGGAAGCAGAAUUGCACAAAUAUGUAAUACUUGAGAGAUGAGAGAUUAAAAAUUAAAUAACGUUUUUUUAGAGUUUGGUUUGAGAGUUGGUGUGUAUCCAUAUAAUAAGUUUUAUUUUGGUGUGAAAUUAGUUUGUUCUUUGGUAUGCUUUGUUUUAGUUUGGUUAAUUUUGUUAAUUCAUUUAAAUAUGGAUAAACUCCAACUCUCAAAGACUCAAAUCAAACACACGUAAUAAAAUUUUGUUCAUCAUUAAUGUAACUUAACCUUGAAGUUUUUAAAUUUGUUUUAACACACUGCCAUAACAAUAGUUUAAUGGAUUUAAUAACGAUGUCAUAUUUUUUUUAAGUAACAACAAUAUCAUGAAAACUUUUAUAUAUAAAAAAAAAAAAAAAAAAAAAAACAAUAUCAUCAUCACAACUCAUUUUAUUGAUUUUUUUUUUUGCAUUUGAAGCUUUUCAAUAGCACAAGCACAAUUUAAACAUAGACCACCAAGUAGUAGAAUAUAUUCCAUAAUACAACUUACUACUCAUUUAAAAUGUUUUGACUAAAUUUAAUAUAUUAGUUUAUAUCUUAAUAAUCAAUGCUAAAAAUGUUUCAUAUUUUUCCCCCCUAAAAAUAAUCAAUACUAUAAUAUUAUUUUUAUUAUGUUAAAAUGAUAUAUAUGUUGGUUAAAAUACGGAUAGUAGAGACUAAUCUUUGGUUAAUAUAUUUUAUAUUAUCUUUUUUUAAAACAAAAAAAAAAUACGGAUAAUAGAUACGAUAUAGAUACGUGCAUAAAUAUUAAAGUUACUCUAAAUGUAGAUAUAAAUCAAACUACAAUUAUUUUUCCAAACCAUGAAUGUAGAGACGGAUUUUUCCAAACCAUGAAUGUAUAGAGACGGAUAUUAUCUAUAUAUUUGAUAUCACGACGAGUAUAUUAAAAUAUGGAUGAUGUACCUUUAUUUAACAAAAAUUUAGUGUAUUGGAUCACAAGUCAUUCUGAUAUAACCACGGGAUAUCAAAUCAAAUCAAAUACAUUAUAACACUUAUGAGAACCUACCCCACUCAUUUUCAUUCAUCUAACCCAUUCACGUUAUAUUCCUUUUAACCCUUUCUAGACAUGUCAAUUAUUAUUGACUUGACAUUUAUCUUAAAAUAGAUCCAUUUUUUCAGAUUAGCAUGUGACCUUGAGUGCUAAUUACUUUUUCCUUACUUUUAAAAGCAAAUAAAAGUUUUCAACGCGUUUUGGUAUCCAUUUUUCUUAUAAUAUGAUUGAUGAUAAUGGUAAUCAUUUUAUGAAGUAUGGACAAAACUCCCUCAAAAAAAAAAAAAAAGCUGAAGUAUGGACAAAUUAGAGUCACGGGCAUCGUUUAACAAAAAUGGGCUCCAUCUGUACUUUUAAUCAGCUCUUAAACAUCUGGCUGAAGAUCUCGAUCUUAAAAUAAUUUGUGUGAACACAAAUCUACAUAAUUAAUUAAUUACGAAAUUAAGACUUGAGUUUGUCUUUGUUUUCUGCCCAAAAAACAAAAGAUUGCCUAUAUUUAGUCAUUUAACCUUCUUUCAAUUUUGGUUAUUAUUAUCGGAAUUAAUCCCUCAAAACAAAUCCUUCAGUAAUACACAUUAAUGGCGGAUUGGUGACAAAAAAACUUCCCUCGGUAAUAUGUUUAUGAUUUCUCGUCUUUGUGCGAUAUGUUUAUGAUUUUCAAUUUUAUUUCGAUGUUUAUUUGAUUCAGGUUAAAAUGUUAGCUUUUAGCAAGUGGAUAUUCAAUCAAUGAUUUUGGCGUCGUCAACGUUGUAGAUCUAGAGACAUGAGUAUUCCGAAGACUUGAAUAUAGUCACAUUUGUAGGCAUAAGUACUCUGUUAGUUAUAUAUUAACAUAGAUGCUGUGAGUUUGUUCGGAGAUUCAUUCUCUUUGUUUUUAACGACUUUGAAUUUGUAGUGUAUUGAUGUACUCUAUCAAUUUGAAUGAAUAAUUAUCGUUUAUUUUUGUAAAAAAAAAAAUCAUUACCCACAUGAAUUUUAAUAUUUUUUUUUGACAAAAUGAAUUUUAAUAUUAGAUAUGAUAAAAUUCAAAUAUUUUUCAUAAACCAGCGAUUAUAAUUGAAAGACAGUGUGAUUGUCAAUGCAUUUUCAUUAAAGUCUUUGUAAAUUAUUCCUUUUUCUAUUUCAAUCCCAUUUUUCAGAAACAUUAACCUAUAGAAAAAAUCGUGACACCCCAUAUAUAGCAAAUAAUAGUUCCUCAAGAGACGUAUUAUUAUCCUCUCAAAAACGAGACAUAAUUUUAUUAUUAUUAUGAUGAUUAUCAUCAUCUAAACAAAACAAAAAAAUUGACAAGCAUAUAUAAACAUGCCAUUGCUUUGUUAAGCAUAGCGUACUCUAAUACUUUAACCUUUUUGCGAUAGACAUUAAUAUUUUUACAAAAUUACUCUUACUUUAGAAGAGAACGAUAGUUAGAAUGAAAAUUUUGUGAUAGAAAAAUUGGAAUAUUUACGCAAAAUUGAAACUUUUUUUUUUACUAAAAUCAACUAACGGAUGAAGUAAUAAAAUUGAAAAGAAAACUCAAGUACAAAGAACUUGAUUCCCUUUGUAAAUCAUUUUAUAAGUGUUAGGAGCCCUAAGAUGUAUAUUAACAUCCAUUCACUUAAAAUUGUCUUCAUAAAAAGGAAUGGUUCUCUAAGAGAGACAUCUCACUUAGUUUAAAGAACAAAUUCAACUUUAUCAUUCAAGCGAUUAAGAGCUGUUGUUGAUUUCUUGUAAAAAAAAAGAGCUAUGGUUUUUUUAGAGGAAAAGGAAAAAAAAAAAAAAAAAAACCAAUUGGUUGAUUUAAUUUCUUGUCAGAAGGAUUACUAGAAGGCCUUCGGCUGUUGCUUGAAGAAUUAGAAGAUGAGUCAUGUUGUUGAGUCACAGAAUAGUUUGUUAGCCCUCAUAUUCUAUUAUGAUUAAUUAAUAAUUACUGUAUUCUGUUAUUGACAAUCUGCUAUAUUUUGUUUCCUUCAACCAAUUGGGCAGCCAAUCAUUUUUUGUUUGUAAUAACAGUUUAAAUUAUCCCAUGAGGUAUGACGAAUGAAGAAAAGCAAGAAAAAUUAUCCCAACUUUUUUUUUUAUUACUAAUAACAAGGGUUUGUCAUAUAACCAUAUCACUAAACAAUUUCAAUUAAUAGAAUGUGCACACUUGCUCAUGCUUAAUAAUAAUAACUUAAAUUAACAUUAAUGAAUAUGAUUUCAUAAAUUCUAAAUGAAAGAGUAUAACAGAUUAUUAUUUAGAUUCUAAGUUCUGACUUAGUCAAACAAAGAAAUAUUUGGUUAAAAGAGCAUUUUAUAUAUGAUAUUGGUUAAGAUUCUCUCAAAAAAAAAAAUGAUAUUGGUUAAGAUAUGUAAAAACACUUUUUUUUGUACAAAUAAAAAAACAGUAAAAACUAUUUUUUAACCAAUAUAAAUUUACAAUCCAACGUUCAAAUUUAUAUUAUGAAAUCUAACCAAAAAAAAUUUAUAUUAUGAAAAAGUUACACGGCUUAAAUCAUUUUAAAAUUUGUGUAUAUAAUUAAGAAAAUGCUAAAAAAACGGCUUCAUGAUAUUGGUUAAAAGUAUAAAAUAAAAUUAUACUCUUUUUAACAAAAGUACAAUUUUUUUUUUUUUAGGCCAAAUAGUAAAUAAAAAAAUAAAACGAGGGGGGGGGGGGGGGGGCAUGAGACAUGACCAAUGAAAACCCAAACGGGAAUACAACUUGAAAAAUCAGUCCAAGUGGAUCAACUCUACGGGCGCAAUCCAGCGAACCCGCGUAUGGGCGCAAAACAAGGUUACAAAAAAAGAAUGAAAAGUGAACCUCCGCACCAGACACUUAGAGUAUAAAAAUGACGAAUGGAUCGACCGCCAACACGGUAACAAAAUCCAAGUGUCAAUAGCUCCCUGAUCAACAACAAGCUAAAAGGCUCUUUCGAGCCAAACAACGCAUAAGAACUCAGAUCGAGGGAUGAGUCCAAUACGUCAGUAACAAGACCCUUUCAGGUUAAACGAACCACCAGACCCUUUCGGGUUUUAGAACACACCAAACCCUUGAGGGUUUACGAAAACACUCAACAGCAAAAAAAUCAAAUCCAAUCCCACCAGUCUAUGAUCAGCAACGAAAUAACAUAAAAAAACACAACACAAAACAAAAAAAAAAACACGAAACAAAAGCAGCUUCCAAACACUCCGGCGUGGUGACAGCGGAGCAACAACCAUGGACACUGCAGAUCUCAACAGAUCUGAAACCAACCAGAGCUCCAAGACCGUCCAAAGGUGAAGAAGAAGAAGCCAAAAACGGUUCAGCAACGACCCACCACCAAGGAAUCCGCAACCACCAACCGGAUAAAGUGAGAAAGCAAGGCAGAACAAUGGUGCCGCUGCCGACCACCUUCACGAACCACAGCCUCCUAGCGCCGCCACCUCGAAACAGAAAAGCAAACAACGACCCAAGCACAAGAUCUGAUGUGAAGAACACCAAAUCGCGGAUCUGACGGUAACAAGGCUAAAGCGUAAAGAAGGAGAGGAAGCGUCGGUGGUGCGGAGCAAGAAACCCAUCGCACCACCAUCUAAGCAGGUUACAUGGUGAAAAGAAGUUUUGGAUUGAGGAGGAAGAUGGCUAAGUCGGUUUGUGUAUUUUGAUGAAAAAUAAUGAAUUUAACUUUUUAAAAGUUGUUGUUUUGAAUACAAAACUAUUAUUUUUUAUUUCCUUAACAAAAAAUUUGUGGUAUGAGUAUGACCCAUAUAAUUUAGAGUAUUACAUAUGAGAUAUGAGAAAUGUUAGCAACAUACAUUUUAACACAUAUUUUUCAACACACUCUCUUUGAUUGAUUAAAAUUUACAUGGGUUCCACCAAAUUUAUAUGUCAUCGCUUAAUUUAGUGGAACUCAUGUGAAUUUUAACCAAUCAAAUAGAGUGUGUUGAACAAUAUGUGUUGCUAGCAUUCCUUGGUACAUAUAUUGUUCAAUUCUCAAAAGCUUAGUUUUUGUAACCAUAUUACUUCCAUGUAAGUGUGGGUGUGUAUGAGAGAGAAAGUUGUCUUGUCGUGAUUUUUAUUUUUUAUGCCUAAACAUGAUUAUUUAUUUAUAUAAAUUUUACUUUUAAUAUUUUUCAAUUCAAACUUAAUUUCACAUAUGAGUAUGUCAUCAACAAUAUUAUAAAUCAAAUAACCGAUCGAUUUUGGUACAAUUAUGAAUUCUAAUAUUGAAAUAAAUUUUAACCUAUCAACUUAGCUUAGCAAUAAACAUCCAAAUAAAAUAUUUUUUAUAAAAAAAUCAUCCAAAUAAUUUUUUUUUAACUGAGUUUUAUGAAAAAUAAACAUUGACAUAUAUUUUAUAUUUUAAAGAACAAGAUACACAUUUUUACUAACAUAAAAUCAGUUUAAAACUAAAAAAAAUUAAAGAGACUAGUCUAAUACAAACUUUAAACUUAAAAAUACUUUUAUUUUACAAUAAAUUGUUCUUAGCAGUAUUGUAGUACUAUACUACUAUUUUUUUAGGGAUAGUACUAUACUACUAUAUUUUUUUUUUAGGGAUAGUACUAUACUACUAUAUGUUGAAUAUAAAAUAUGAGAUAUCAAAGGUAUGAGAAUCAAUUAACAGGUCGUUCCUCGCACAUCAUAUCAUGUACUAUGAAGUUCACGGGAGUGCUAUACUCACAUGCCAAUUGGUUCAUAUCAUAAUCAAUUAAACAAAUAAUAUUUACUAUUGGAAAGUGGGAAUAUUUUAUUCUUUUAUGUGAUUCGUUUUCACUACCAGUUAAAACCCAAGACAGCUUGGUUAGUUCACAUGUUUUUUGUUACCAUCAUAAAAUACAAUUACCUUUUUACACUAUAAAUAACAGCAUCAGUCACUCCUCCUUCACACAAUUACAGUUUUAAUUAGCCAUUUCAAUCUUCAUAUAUUUUAUUACUAAUUAAUUAUGAAUUCUUCUAAAUCUUCAACUCUUGUUCUCUUUUCCAUCAUCAAUAUGCUUUUCUUUGCAAUGGCAAAUGGUUGUUUUUUUUGUCCAAAACCUAACCCUAAUCCAAAUCCAUUCCCUUACCCAAACCCUAGUCCUUCCACUAAGAGUUGUCCAAGAGAUGCACUCAAAUUAGGAGUGUGUGCUAAUUUGCUUAAUGGACCAAUUGGUGCAGUGAUUGGGUCACCACCAGAACAUCCAUGUUGCUCUAUUUUAGAAGGGCUAGUUGAUCUUGAAGUUGCAGUUUGUCUUUGCACUGCCAUCAAAGCUAACAUUCUUGGAAUUGACAUUAAUAUUCCUAUUUCACUAAGUUUGAUCCUUAAUGCUUGUGAGAAGACUCCACCCACCGAUUUCCAGUGCUCUUAAUUAAGUGUUACUCUUGAUUAAUUGUGUUUGUUAAUUGUUUUUUUUUUUUUUUUUUAUAUUAUGAUUGAUGACUGAUGAAGUGUUGUUUGUUACUUGGUAAUUAAGUAGUAACUCAUCAUUUACUGCAAAUGCAGUUGUAUUUUGUAACUGUAAUUUCUAGUUCAAGUCUUGAAUGAAUUUCUAAUUUCUAAUUUUAAUUAUUUGAUGGAAUGUUUCUAUAAUUUUUUUAAAUUCAAAUAAUGACUCACUUAUGUAGAAAUCAAAUUGGCACAAUUCAAGGAAUAAUGGACCUUAAUUAAUCUUGAGACAUCCAGCAUAAUAAAGUGAAAUUAUUUCGAUAUUUGAAACAGAUAGUACUAUAUAUUUUGAUAAAUAGUUUUUUUGGUGCAGUAAUAUGAAUUAUGAGCGGAAACUAAUUUAAGUCCGUGAAUUUAAAAUUCCUCUAUAUUCUUUGUCCUUGACGUCAUUUCUCAGGCCAAAAAUAUUGUGACGUGGUAAAUAGAGAGUUGUAUACCCUUGCUGAAAUAGUUUGCAACACGAGAUGUUGGUACCACGUGAUACUGAAUUUUUGCACAAGCAUAAAUAUAUUUACACAGACCGGUCAAAAAAGAAAAGAAAAGAAAAUAUAGAUUACAAAUACACAAAAUGAAAAGAAAAGUAUUUGGACAUGUUUGAAAUAGUUUUUGUUUUCGGUUUUUGAAAUAUACAAAUCCUUUUCUCACAAUUGUUAUCUUUUACAUGUUUUAGUUUUUUAGUCUCCAAAACUAAAAAAUUCAAAACAGUUUCCAAAACUGUAAUUUUAAAAAUAGUUUAGCAAAUAAGUUUUUAAUUUUCAGUUUUGAUCUUCAAGUACAUGUAUCAUCAUUCUAACAAAUAUCACUUCACAUAAAGUAGAGAAAUCACUCCUUGAAGUUAAUAAUCAAUUUUUUUUUAGGGAAAUAAUCUAAUUGUUUUAAUAAACACUUUUCAAUGGACAUAUCCAUCAGAAACUUUUUAAUAUUUGAAUUUUAAACUCUCAAGGGCUAGCACAUCAGAAUUCAGAACAAUGAUCCGAGUAAUUCUUCUAUCGAAAGUAUUAAUAUUUAUGAGUGAAAUGGUUAGUCUGAAAUGAUUUUUAAGUGAUUUUUUCGUUAAAAACAUGUUUUGAGUAGCUUUUCCUCGAUGCCCACACAUCUCUCAGAAUGGAAGUGUUUGCGAUGUAUUUGCUCUAUUUUUGUUAGGGUUUGUUGGCUUCUAAAACCUUUAUAUUUAUUGUAGUAUUACAUGUCAAAAUUUCUAAAACUUUAAUUUGGUCCAAUUUUUAUGUUGGUUUUGAAAUUGUCAUUCCUUCUAUCUUCUUUGAAUGUACAAUUCUUAUUACAAAGGGUUGGUCAAAGGGAAGAGGAUGCGAAAAAUUUGGUAAAUGCUUUAGCAAAAUGUGUUAACAUAUGUUACAUUUUUUUUUUUUAGAGAAAUUAACAUAUGUUACAUGUUACACUCGUUGAGGAAAAUCUCGUUUUUAAUGUGCCCCUGUUUUAAAAUGGAAAUAAUGAACUAUACAUUUUAAAUCGGUUUUGAACUGGUGUAAUUUGUAUAAUUUUUUCAAAAGAAAAAUAAUUGAACAAACAAUUCAUAUCACUCUAGCGGAAACUGAUGUGAACCGUAAAAGUUAGUUUUCAGAAAAAACAUACAAAUUUGUCCAAAAACUAUUUUUUCUCGCUAAUUUAUUUCAUACCACUAUUAAGAUCAACUUAAAAGGUCAUAUAUUAUUCUCUUGUCCAACUAUUUAGUCCACCAGGUUAACUCUUUCCUUAAGGCGACCAUUAGUUGACUCCAAACUGUGAAAAUAUAUUUGUUUAGUCUCUAAACUAUCAUAAAAGACAACUAGUAAUUAGACUCUAAAUGUUCAUUUUUUAUAUUAAAUACCACUUUUCUUCUCUAACUACUCAUUUUCAAAUUGCAAAACAUAUCUUGCUUCAAUCGUGGCUGGAGGAUCAUUCACUAAGAAAGUUUUGCAAUUUAUGGGCUCAAGCUUAAACUCGAUGAGAAAUUAAGUGUUAAUGUUACGAGAGAAAUUCUAACAUGUUCACAAGACCCGACAAAAAGUAUUUGGUCACACACACAUAAACAAGUAUUUUUUUUUAAUGAUAGAAAGAAAAUUGAUAAAAAAAUAAUUAAAUAUUUUGAAGAUAUCUCUUUAUGUGAGUGUGUCUAAGGCUUUGUUUGGGAGUUUGGAGGGGAGGGGAGGGUUUUGGAAAAAAGGAAGGAGCAUUUAAGAAAUAGAAGACAUUGGGAGGAGAGGGCUUUGGAGGUUAAUUUUUUACUCAUAAUAAAAAAUCUCCCUCAUUUGGGGGAACUCAAAAAUUGUAUUAGGGGAGGGUUUUGGGGGGUUAUGGAGGGUUUAUAUGAAUUUUUCAAAUCCAAUCUAUCUUGUUAUAAUAUUCUUAAAAUUAAAAGUAUAUUAAUCAUAAGUAUUAAUUUAUCAUUCUCUAAAAAAUUGUUCUUUCAAAAAAUGUGAAUUUUUUGUCCAUUUUUCUAUAUGUUUCCAACCCCCCAAAGUCCUCCCCUCCCUUCCCCUCCAAACUCCCAAACAAAGCCUAAAAGUUAUUUAUUUGGUCUUGUUACCAUGGAAGAAUAGCUCAUGUUAAGAAACAUACUUUCUUGGAGAAGCUGAACUUUCUUAAAGAAGGUCAACAUUGGUACAACAACUUGCUAUUUCAAUGGUGCAAUAACCUCCAAAUGUAUACCAUAUUCCUCCUUCAUCAAGUAAUAAGCCUCGCUAUAGCUAAAAUAUGGUUGUUUUCUCAGCCUUAAUUCUAGCUUCUCAAUAUGCCACUUUUUAACGGAAAAUUAGUGUUUAAAUAACCCUUUUUAACACCAGUUAUAUAGGAAAACAUGAAUGAAACGUCCCCUUUUACUCCUAUUAUAGAGACAAAUUAGUGUAAAAUCAUCAAAUUUAGGGUUAAAAACACCUUUAACACCACUUAUGUAAGAACACCAGCGUAAUAUAUAUUUAUCACUGAUUCCAAAACCGAGGUGAAAUGCCCAAAAAAUGCAUUUCCACCCCCUCUAGUGGUGCAUUUAUUCAGAGCAUAUUUGUGGUUAUUAAAGAAUUCGUCUCUCCCUAAGUACAAGUUUUUUUUUUGUCAGAACCUAAAUAUAAUAAAUUUCUUUGUCCCAUUUUCAUAAAUAAUUUAAAACAAAAUUAACUGUUGUUUCUUUUAAAAAAUAUUUUUUAAUUGUAUUAAUAUUAGUGACAUUAAUAAUAAUUUUACAGUUCUCUCGUAAGAGACAUGCACUCAAAAUUACAAAGUUAAAUUUUUACCAUUGAGUUGGCACUCAUGGACACCAUGAUGGAAACGUUAACUAAUUGAUAUGAAGGGUAAAAUUGUAAAAAAAUAGGCUUAAAUGCUCUUUUGGUCCCUUAACUAAUUAAUUGGUAUCGCUUUGGUCCCUUAACUAAAAAAAAAGAUUGUUUGAGGAUUUUAAGUUUUUUUUAGUCUCGUUUUGGUCCCUUCUGUUAGUUUUAAUAAAAAAUGUUAAAUAUGGACAUGUGUCACCUUGUCAUUGGCUCUGAGAUUUUUUUUUUACAAAAAAAAAUAUAUUUUAAAAAAAAAUAUUUUUUUUGUAAAAAAAAAAAAAACUCUGAUCCAAUGACAGGGUGACUCGUGUCCAGGAGCUAACUUUUUUUAAAACCCGAACGGAAACCUAACAGAAGGGACCAAAACGAGACUAAAAAAAAACUUAAAAUCCUCAAACAAUCUUUUUUUUAGUUAAGGGACCAAAGCGAUAUCAAUUAAAUAGUUAAGGGACCAAAAGAGCAUUUAAGCCUAAAAAAUAAUAUCAAUUGUUAAUAAAUUUAAUCCUAUUAUCAAUUUUUUUAUUUCUCAUGAUUUAAUUUACGAGUCUUAUAUUUAAAGACAAAAGGGAGGAUGUUUUAAAAUUUGCUAGUUUUGAUUUGAUUUGAUUUUUUGUAUGUAGACGAUUUGACAAACACAACCUAAAAACACAUAACUACGAGAUGUCGGGUUCGAACCCAAGUGAAUGUGUUUAACCUAGUAAUAUUGACAUUUUCAGUUGAGCUAGGUCUUAUGAACGACAUUUUUUAUUUAUUUCUAUUUAAUAUUAGUUGUGAUCAAAAUUAUAUCUUGCUUUGGAUGGUUGCUGCAUUUUGUGGUUUAAUUGGGAUUUAUUUAAAAAAAAUAAAAUCUGUCUUAAUGGUUUAAGCCGUACAGCUUAAUUAGUUUUGCACACAGAUUGAAUGAUCCCUUUACUCCCUUCAUCAAUGCAUUCUUAAUUAGAAAAAAGAUAUUAGUCAGAGUGUUUUUCAUGUUUUUUAGAAUAUAAAAAUAAUGCUUAAUUAGUUGCAUAAUAAUAUGUAGCAUAUUUUUUUAUAAUGUCUGCUUAUUUUCAUAUUAGUCACGGACUCAUUGCAGCGUUUACAUGUCUGUUUGCUUUUCCCAUCAGUAUUAUAUUUUUUUUUCCAGAUAUUUGUUUUUUCUCAUGUCGGGCAUUGAACGUAAAUUAGACAGACCAAAAACCCAAAAAGCAAUGCAAAAAUAUACUAAUAAGUAAUUUCUCAAUGAAUAAAAAAUAACACUAGUUAUUCAUCUUCUUUAAUUUCCCUAGCAAAUUGCAUCGGGAAUAUUAAUACAUUUAUCAUUACAAUCUGACCAAAUAAAACAAAUAGUACUGAAUCCAAGGAAUAAUAACGAGAGGUUAAUUAUCCAUGCAAGUAUACAAUGAAGAAAUCUUGAUCAAAUGGAUAAUUGAGAAAAGCAACGAAAAUUAAAACAAUAAGAAGCAAACUAUAGUAGAUACGUUGAUAUGAUCACCGUGCAUGAUGAUGAAUUAAUUAGUAGCAUUGGAAAUCACGUGGUGCUUGCUUUGAGCAAACAUUGAGAAGCAAGCUAAGUGAGAUAGGAAGGUUGAGAUUGAUCCCCAAAAUGUUAGCUUUAAGGGCAGUGCAAAGACACACAGCAGCUUCAAGAUCAACAAGGCCAUUUAGGAGGGUGCAGCAUGGUGUCACUGGUGGCUGACCCAGAGUAACAUUCAACAAUCCAUUUAGUACAUUGGC
rnacentral:lncRNA from 1 species